UCCCUUAGUAGCGGCGAGCGAACAGGGAAGAGCCCAGCGCCGAAUUCCGCGUCUCACAGGGCGUUUGGAACAUGUGGCGUUUAGGAGGAAUCUCUCCGAAGGCAGACGGUGUCGCAAGUCCCCCUGAACGGGGCUGUGAUCCAGAGCGGGUGCGAGGCCCAUAGCUGGUACCGUCUCCUUUGGGUGUCCCCUCCUUGGAGUCGGGUUGCUUGGGAGUGCAGCCCUAAUUGGGUGGUAAACUCCACCUAAGGCUAAAUACGUCCGUGAGACCGAUAGCAAACAAGUACCGUGAGGGAAAGUUGCAAAGAACUUUGAAGAGAGAGUUCAAGAGUACGUGAAACCGCUCAGAGGCAAACGGGUGGGCCCACGAAAGCCGAAGGCGGGGGGAUUCAGUCGAGAGGACGGUGGGGCAGGACUGGCUGGUUGGACGGACCGUGCCAGGCCGGGUCAGUUCCCGAGAUCUGCCGCCUUUCGACGCAUUUCCCCCUGCUUAGUAGGACGCCGCAACCGGUUGGCGCUGCAGCCAGAAGGGAGAGUAAAUGGAAGGUAGCCAGUGAGUUCUUCUUCGGAGGCGCGAGCUGGUCCUAAGCCGACUCUCCUGGUGCUUGUGGCCCGACCGUGGUCGUGAGUCCCUGAACGGGAUGUCGCCGAGCCCUCUGACUGGAGCGGGAGAAAUGGCAGGCUGCUUUCCGUGGAAAAAAUCGAUCGCUUCACGCGUGCAGUGGGCGAUCUCCGGAGGUAGCUGCUGGUGCAUUUUUCUCCUGCGCUGGGCACAGGCAGUUGGCGGCGAGUAGGUCGGUCACCCACCCGACCCGUCUUGAAACACGGACCAAGGAGUCUAACAUGUGCGCGAGUCAUUGGGUCUUGAACAAGCCCAAAGGCGCAAUGAAAGUGAAGACCAGCACUGAAGCUGGUGGAGUUGGGAAACUGUGUCACUAAAGAUGCAGUUGCACCAACGGCCCGUCCCGUCCGCAUCGUCGGUGGGGCGGAGCGAGAGCGUACACGUUGGGACCCGAAAGAUGGUGAACUAUGCCUGGGCAGGACGAAGCCAGAGGAAACUCUGGUGGAGGUCCG
rnacentral:rRNA from 1 species